AGCAGCCGCGGUAAUUCCAGCUCCAAUAGCGUAUAUUAAAGUUGUUGCAGUUAAAAAGCUUGUAGUUGAAUUUCGGGAUCAAUCUAUCGGUCGUGCCAAUGGUAUGAACUGGUACAAUUGGUUUCUCCCUUCUGACGAAGCAUGAUGUCAUUAAUUUGGUGUCGUGGGGAAUCAGGACUGUUACUUUGAAAAAAUUAGAGUGUUUAAAGCAAGCAUUAGCUUGAAUACAUUAGCAUGGAAUAAUGAAAUAGGACGUUUGAUCCUAUUUCGUUGGUUUCUAGGAUCGACGUAAUGAUUAAUAGGGAUAGUUGGGGGCAUUAGUAUUCAAUUGUCAGAGGUGAAAUUCUUGGAUUUAUUGAAGACUAACUACUGCGAAAGCAUUUGCCAAGGAUGUUUUCAUUAAUCAAGAACGAAAGUUAGGGGAUCGAAGACGAUCAGAUACCGUCGUAGUCUUAACCAUAAACUAUGCCGACUAGGGAUCGGAUGAUGUUAAUUUUUUAAUGACUCAUUCGGCGCCUUACG
rnacentral:rRNA from 1 species